rnacentral:tRNA from 1 species
UAGUAUAGUGGACAGUAUCUCCGCCUGUCACGCGGAAGACCGGGGUUCGAUUCCCCG